AGUGAACGCUGGCGGCAUGCCUAACACAUGCAAGUCGAACGGCAGCACAGUAAGUUCUUGCUGUUACCGAGUGCCGAUCGGGUGCGUAUGACGUAUGCAUCGGACUCUACUUUUUGGUGGGGCAUAAGGAAGCGGGACUUACUCUAAUAUCGCAUACGAUGUACGAGUGAGAGCAGUGGAUCGUCGGAGCUUUCGCGAUUGAAUGAGCCGAUGUCGGUUUAGCUAGUGGGAGGGGUAAAGGCCCACGAAGUCGAGGAUCCGUAGCUCGUGUGAGAGGAUGAUCGGCGACACUGGAACUGAGACACGGCCCAGACUACUACGGGAGGCAGCAGUGGGGAAUGUUGGACAAUGGGCGAAAGCCUGAUACAGCGAUACCGAGUGUGUGAAGAAGGCCUUCGGGUUGUAAAGCCCUUUUGUUGGGAAAGAAACGCUUUCGCCUAAUACGACGCGGGUGUGACGGUACCGGAAGAAUAAGCACCGGCUAACUACGUG
rnacentral:rRNA from 1 species